CCUCCCCACCGUGCGGCCGGCACCUGUGACGUCACAGCCAGCACCAGCUGACGGCACGAUGGAGGAAGCGCCGGAGGGGCGGGGACCGCUGUAUUAAACAAGGGGUGGGACUCCAACAAGGGGGUGCGGCCUUCUGGGAAACCUGGAGUUCAGGGCUGGGGUAGAACUGCAGGGGAUAAAGCCGAAGUCGUUGUCUAAAGGCUGCAAACAAUUGUUUUUUGACGUGGUCAAGGUGUUUUCUCACCUCAUCCUGCAAAGAACCUCACAUUUCCAUUUUAAUUGGGGAACUUGUAUUCAUCACUGAUGAUCCAUCUCAAUAUCUGCCUUCAAAUAUUCAGCAAAUUGCAAAUCAGUCCAAGACACCUAGAGGCAUAAAAAAUACCUGGAAAGACCUAAGCCAAGCCACACACUGUGCAGAUUGGAGGGCUGAACCUGCAUCUUACUACAGUCAGUGGGUGAGCUCCGGAAGACUGCCAAUUCAGUAGCUCUAAGACAAAUGUGGGAGGAAGUAGAAGAAGAAGAAAAGUAGUUUCUCUGCCAUCAGUACCAUGGAAGUAGAUACAGCAAAGAAAAAGAGUGAGACAGGGCUGCAUGGGGACACAAUAUAUACUAUAGUAGGCAAAGAAGAGCAAACAGCAGCUACAAAUAUAAGAAGCAAAAGAACUUGAUGGGAAAAAAGAAUACGAGUAACUGUAGUAAAGUCAGUCUUAUAUUUUCAGUAGUGCUUAAAUGUGAUGUGAUUCAAGCAAAACCAGAGAAGUCUUAGCAGACAUAGAUAUACAUAAGAAGAUUCAGUUUAAAAUCAAGUAAAUAAUUGCAGUUUAGGAAAGGAGCAC
rnacentral:lncRNA from 1 species